CUGCUAGCACGUUGUUUUAGAUCAAUUUGAUUUUCGUUGUUCUUUGUUUGCAGCCCAUCGCGGCAGCCUCCCGUGCAAGUUCGCGCGAGCAAACGCUGCUGGGACGCAGCAAAGCAUAGACAGAACGUGCGGAGUGAUAAAUUUUGGUGACCGCACUUCUUGCGUAGCUUCCACAGCGUUCCACCUUGUGUAUGAAACGGAGUAUAGCUUUCUGGACACAACAAUGCAG
rnacentral:lncRNA from 1 species